GGGUGUGAUCAUGCCAGCGUUAAUUCAUCGGAUCCCAUCAAAACUCCAUAGUUAAGUGCGCUUGGGCUAGAGAAGUACUGGGUUGGGUGACCUCGCCAGAAGUCCCAGUGUUGCAUCCU
rnacentral:rRNA from 1 species